AAGUCGUAACAAGGUUUCCGUAGGUGAACCUGCGGAAGGAUCAUUAACACGUAUCCAAACGUUAAAUUUCCCCCGUGAAUCUUCAUCCUGCUCUUGUAACCCGCGUAGUUCGCAAUCUCUGAUAAAUCAUAGCCCGGAAAGUUGUAGUGAUUCAGAGACCUCUGGCUACGUGCGAACAUUGGAACAGUUACAAUCGAGCGGUAGUUCUAUAGGCAAUGUUUCCUGCCCGAGUGUACGGUCUACAGGAAUCGUAGAAGCGCUAUCCUUGCACAAUCAAUGAGACUUUCCGACACUGACUGCUUGGGCUUUGCCAAAGGGUCCCCAUGCCCCCUAAUAACCCCACAGUUUAAUGUGAAGCUCAAUGUAAUACAUUGGGUAAAAAAACCGAACAACUGUUCACAAUGGAUAUCUUGGUUCUC
rnacentral:misc_RNA from 1 species